AUCCCAAUGACAUCUCCUUAAUCGGAGAGUUCCCUUCGGGGACAUUGGUGACAGGUGGUGCAUGGUUGUCGUCAGCUCGUGUCGUGAGAUGUUGGGUUAAGUCCCGCAACGAGCGCAACCCUUGUCUUUAGUUGCCAUCAUUAAGUUGGGCACUCUAGAGAGACUGCCAGGGAUAACCUGGAGGAAGGUGGGGAGGACGUCAAAUCAUCAUGCCCCUUAUGCUUAGGGCUACACACGUGCUACAAUGGGUAGUACAGAGGGUUGCCAAGCCGUAAGGUGGAGCUAAUCCCUUAAAGCUACUCUCAGUUCGGAUUGUAGGCUG
rnacentral:rRNA from 1 species